AAUGACCAAAACUGCACAUUCCAAACACAUUGCCUUGUUACCAGGCAACCUACAGAUAUCAGUAAUAUAUCCAAAAAGUAAAUGUAAGGAGGAGGGCUCCAACUGACCACCUAAUAUCAAACUGGUCCUUUGACCCAUUUCAUACCAAAAAUUCUUGAUAUGGGGCACUCCCAAAACAUACAAGCUAAUGUAGCACCAAGAGAAUUACAUUUCCAACAGCGGUCAGCAUUUAUCAGACCCAUUACAGUUGACCUAUAUUCAAAUAUACUGGUCUCUCAUGUCUUUGGGUGAAAAAGCCAUAGCCUCACCUCUCCAGAUGCUUUUUAACAUCAGAUACAAUUUUAUUCCAUUGGACCAGAGAUAGUUGUGUAUUCAAAUCUCUACUCCAAGUAAUUCUCAAGGUUUUUGGGGACAGAAAAUAGUAAAAGAAUCCCACUGGCUGAAAAAAUCCAGGAAGUUUCCUCCAAAAUAAUAGUAGUUCUGGAGUUCCCAAUACAUCUGGUCCAAAUACAUACAUACAUUUCCCCAUAAGGAAAUACCUUAACUGGAGAUAUUUCUAUGCUCCAGAGUAGGGCUAAUCAAAUAGUUACUGAAGAUCUACAAAUGGUUAAAAUUGAUAUUUGUCAAUUAGCUAUGACACAGCCGGGAUUCCUCUUCCAUCCAAUCCCUCCACAUUAAGGCGUUGCCACUGAUUUUAAGGAUAGGAUUGCUCCCUAGGACCACCACUACAUGGAAGAAUGGAUGGAAGCAGAAAUUUAUAGCCAAGUUUGCCCAUGCUUGCCUCACAGCCAUUACUGUGGGAGCUUUGGAGCCAUCAAAUCUAUAAUAAUUCAAUGCUACAAUGCCUGAAAAGAGGAGAGGAUAUACCAAUGCCUGUUCGAUCUUAACCAAAGGUGGGGUCUGUGUGGUCUUACUUAACAGCCAAAAUGACGCCUGGCUUAAUAAAAAGGAAACAUGAUGAUUUUCCAAGUUUGGAAAAUGAAAUUGUCCCAGUGAAGAGGGAGCAAUAUUUCUUCGGGUUGGAUGGUGGGAUUUAGGAGACAACAUUUGGGGAUUCCCUGUGGGCCGCUUCAGAGCUCAAGCAACCUGCACCCACCUUGGUCAUCACACCCUCUGGUCUCCUCUAGUGGUAUUUUAAAACCAGAAUGUGUACCCAUAUAUCAGAUGCAACAAAGCAAACAUUGAACUUCUAUUUUCACAGUCUUCAAUAAAUGGAACAUCUUAAGAAUUCCUUAUGAGUUUCUGGAGCUUGGAAUGUCUUACAAUUAAGUCAACCAAACUGUUUUACUGAAAAUUAAUAUAUAUUGUUUCACUACACAAUAUGGAAAGUUAUUCAUGAAUUACUUUGUAUAUCUAUGGUAAGUCCUUGUUCAAUGGCAUUAUUUAGAAAUAUAAAAAAGUACAAAAGAUGAAAAAAGACAAAUAUAAGUGGUUGAAAUUGCUUCAAAUCUAUUUCAGUUGAAAACCUGGGUAAACGUAUAUUUACUACAAGAUACUCUUAAGAGCCAACCAUAAUGCAUUGGAGUGGUCUGGGAAAAGCAUUAUAAAUGUAUCUACAGACACAAUAAUACCUGCAGGGUGUUCAUCCUCUAUGGAAAUGUCGUUUCAUAUCCUAUCCAUUAGAUGAAAAUACUUCACUGUUCCUCCAAGGUAUUUCUACUGAAAAAAAGAAAAGCAGCCUCUGUGCUUUAGAAACUACUCAAAUGACCUUGCAUAUUCAAUUUUAUUCAAUAACCACACUAUACAAGCUCUGCCACAAUCUGUGUUCUAAAAAUAAAGUGCACUGGAAGUAUAUUGUGCAUGUAGGUUUGUCCCUGGUUCAUAUUAGAAAUGGUGAUAGAAAUAGUUUUUAACAGAAUGCUAAAACACUGGUGAACUCUGUAGUUUAUUAUUGUGGUCUAAUGGUAACUCAGUAACUAAUGUUACAUUGGUCUUUUCAUUUUAAAGGAAGUAACCCCUGAUUUGUAGGGAAAUGAAAACUUAUGCCUGAGAAAACACAAAAUCUGUUGUGCUUAAACUUCUUGAAUUUUUGAGGGAACUAGCUGUUUUAUGGUAUUCAACUUAUUUUUGUUACAAAAGGUGGUUUUCUGUUUUGUGUUUUGAUGGGACAAAACAGUGAGUUGUAGCCUGGUUUGGAGCAGAACUGCCAUGUGGUUUUAGUGUGUGACCUUUUCUUGGCUUGUUCCAAAUGUAGGCACUCAGACAAGUGGUUGACCUGUUGAAUUGGGACCCUGGCUUUGGAGGCUGAAACACCUCCUGCAACAAUGAUUGGGCCUUGCUUCUCUCUGAAAUCAUGGCUGUCUGCUGUGUCCCCAAGAUUUGCAAUUAAUCCAGCACUGGCUCACCUGCAUCCAUUAUUGACACCUGUUGUAGACAAAGCUACUAGACUAGGAGUUAAGAAGGGGAAGAUUUCAUGUCUUUGCUGCUGCUGUUUGAUUGUGUACAUUUUUUGCAAGGUUACAGGACAGCAGCACAUCUGAAAAAGAAAUAGAUGUAGUCAGCGCAGCAAAGGAAAAAACGCCUGAUCCUAUAAACAAAUUUGUGUGUAUUAAUUACUACUAUGAAUGGAGCCAUUGGGUCCAGUGAUAUCAAUUAUGGUAGUAAGCAUGACUGUAGGCAGUGUCUUCAGGAACAGGCCCUUGAGAGGGUGUGUGUGUGUGUAUAUAAAUAAGGAUAGUGCUGUAUUUUACCAUUUCCCAUGGUCACACUAUCCUGAGAAGCAGUUGCUGGAUAUGUGGUCCAGAUAGGAAAAAUAGAUGAAGUGUUACCACAAAGAUGGUUAUGCUUCAUUAAAAGCUGCUGAAAUCUAAGUAUGCUUAAAGUGUCUUUUCAAUCACAUACAUCUUUUUUCCCUAACCUACUAAGCACCACCUUAGCAAAGACUAUUUGCAUAUAAAUUAAUAUAUUUUGCUAUUAGCUACACAAGUAUAAAUCCAGAGUAACGCCAUUGUCUGGCAUCUUCAGUUUGAAUUCAGUGGAGUAACUCUGAAUUAACACGGGUGUAAGAGAGCAGAAUUUGACCCUCAGUUGGAAGGUUCCCUCCAAACACUUGAAUUAUUAAGACGACACAAAAUGAAACAAAAAUAAACACAAGGAAAAAACACAAAAUAAAGGGAAGGGGGAAAAGUGGCUGUGUUGUGUUCAAUUUUUCCUCUCUCCUAUAACUCUAAAAUGGUGAAGAGAUUUUUGUCAAACUUUCAUGAAACAAAAAAUAAAUAACUUUGCCUCUGGUUCGGAGAUGAAGCAUAUAGGCUAAGGGCUAGGGGAUUGAAUCAAGAUUGUCAAAAGUGACUGAUUUUUGGUUGCCUGGAUUUUUGUGCACCCAAGGGGACCUAUUCUCUGAAAAUCAGAGCCCUUUACGAAGUUUGAAGUUAGGCACCCAAUAUUUGAGAUGCUCAAAAUCACUAACUCCUUUUGAAAAUCUGGGCUGGAAUUUUUCAAAGGUUAAUUUUUCAGAAUUUUGAGCAUCUGAACAACAGGGUUAAAUGCAGCCUUUAAUAUGACAUUUGUUUGAAAAACUUCAGUACUUGUCACCUCUAAAGAUACCAAAACCAUGUAUAAACCUUAAUGAUUGAAGGUUUGCAAUACCCCUAUUUUCAGAUGGGGAAUUUGAGGUAUAUUAUCUGAUUGUUGGAAAGUGGACCAUGGAAGGGCAGCAAGUGUGAAACACAGCAGGCAUAAAUGGGCAUGCGUCCAUGUGCACACACACAUUCACCUCAUUGUUCAUAGGAUGGCUUCAGGGUGUUAAGUUGCUGAUUAAUAAUAUUUCAGACCUAAUUAUGAAAAGAGCAGCCUGCUUCUGAAACUAUUACUAAAAGUGAUGGUUCUUUUGAGCAAAAAGGGCAAGACAUUCAAACAGCAGCAGCAAAGACAUGAACUCUUCCCCUUCUUAACUUCUAGUUCUGGGAAGAACCCCGGCCGAUAGUUACUGCCAUGUAAUCCGUAAUUAGACACUUGUUUCUUUGUUUCUAUUAGAUGAAUUGUGGUGUUUGAAGGCUUGCAUAACUUUUUUGAUGGCCAGGAUCAUAACACUGUCACAGCCUUUGUUAGAAAAUAUGUUUCCAAUAAAUAUACUGUCUAUUGUGCCUAUGGUUGUAGGCGGUUGAUUGUUCUUGAAGGAUAAGGAAGUAAUAAAGUGGAACGGAGAAGGUGGGAGGAAAUCUUCAAUUAUCCCUUCUGUUUGUUGUUUUAUCUCAUAACAAGAAAAUGUAAAUAAAGGUGACAACCAUUUCCUUUUAA